GCUGGGCGUGGUGGUGCGUGCCUGUAAUCCCAGCUACUCAGGAAGCUGAGGCAGGAGAAUUGCUUGAACCCGGGAGGCGGAGGUCACAGUGAGCAGGGAUAAUGCCACUGCACUCCAGCCUGGGCGACAGAGCAAGAUUCCGUCUCAA
rfam:Homo sapiens chromosome 1, GRCh38 reference primary assembly.